rnacentral:rRNA from 1 species
GACAGGACGGAAAGACCCCGUGGAGCUUUACUGUAGCCUGAUAUUGAAAUUCGGCACAGCUUGUACAGGAUAGGUAGGAGCCUUUGAAACGUGAGCGCUAGCUUACGUGGAGGCGCUGGUGGGAUACCUACCCUAGCUGUGUUGGCUUUCUAACCCGCACCACUUAUCGUGGUGGGAGACAGUGUCAGGCGGGCAGUUUGACUGGGGCGGUCGC